ACACGAGCGCCUGGCUCCCACUCCCGCUCUGUUUGCAACCAAACACACGAGCUCCUGGUAACGAUCCCUGGGAACAGGCUGGGCUCCAGGAUGGGACGGCAGCUCCGGGAUGGGAUGGUCACUCCGGCGAGUGCAUGGAAUUGGGUGUAGGCACUGUGACCGCGAUCCCAGGCAUGGGCUGAGCCUGCUGCAAGUGCUGCUGGGGUGGCAGUGCCGGGAUUUGCAGCUGCAUAUCCACCUCCAGGGUCAUCUGUUCAGAGCCAGGCUCCCUAAAUAACCCACGGGGGUUAUUCCCAGGUGCCUCAGCUGUGGUCCUGGCACUGCUCAGAUUGUGAGGGAUGUGACAGGGGCACACGUGUGGCUGGGACAGGCUCACUCACUGCCAAGGCACAGCACUGCACCUCUGCGUCCCAGACACCUGCUACGGAAAACACAGGAGAAGGAGGCGGAGGGUGGAUCCAGCCCCAUCCUCAGUGAGAGUGUACCAGUGGUAGGCUGGAGUGAGGCUGGGGGAUAUUAGCUCUCCUUUGAGCAGGUUGGAGGGAGUUUGUGGCCGUCUGUCCCUUAAGGCUCUUUCUGAGCAUCCAAAGUUCCUCGAAAAAACUGUGGCUUGUGAAGGGAGAGGCGGGGAGACUUUAACCCUUUGCUGUCUCCAUUGCCCUGUUGCACAAAUGGGCUGUGGAAUUUCCAGGGCUGCCCUGCAUGCCUUGAGCUCUGUGGAAGUGACUCAGCCCUGUCCUUGAAGGCUUGGCAAAGGAAGAUUAUUUUGGGAAGAGGUGAGCAGGUCAGGCCCCACAGGACUCAUCCCCUGCCUGUGUGAGGCCCUGGUUGUGGAGCACAGGAGCUCCCAUGUGGGGACAGCUCUGAAGGGGAGUUGUGGGUGUUGAUGUGUUUUUGAUACGGGGAAAUCAAGACUGGGAAUCAUAGAAUCCUGGAAAUAUUUGGGUUGGAAGGUACCUUAAAGACCAUCUAAUUACAAUUCUCAUGCCAUGAGCAGGGAUAUGAGGUUGUUCCAAGCUCUGUCCAGCCUGGCUGUGAAUGUUUCCAAGGAAUGGGUCAUCCACACCCUCCCUGGCCAGCCUGUGCCAGGGCCUCCCCACCCUGCUGCUGAGGUGAUGCCACUGCUGCUCAGGUGAUGGCUCAUCCAAGGCAGGGACUGCAGGAUCUCCCAGGACAGCCAACUCCAUCAGCUGGCCUCUGCCUGCUCUGAAUCCUGAACAGCAGCAGCUUCUUCACAGCCUGUGGAGCCCCUGCAUAUAUCAGUUUACACAGAAUUUUUCCCCUCCAGCCUUCUUGGCUCUCAAGGAGGCAGCUCCAGUGGAUGCUGUUCCCAGCAUGGAGAAGGCAUCUCAGGAGAAUUCGUGUCAGUAAACACCGACUGGAUCUGUUGGUUGCAAAGUGCCCCAGAUCAGCCUGAAAAAAAUCGUGUCCUUGGAGGUGAUUGGAACAACUUUCUGGGAAGAACAAGAUAUUGAUCUGGGUCUUCAUCAAAAAGGGGAAUCUUACUAAA